rnacentral:rRNA from 1 species
GAGUUGAUCCUGGCUCAGGAUGAACGCUAGCGACGGGCUUAACACAUGCAAGUCGAGGGGCAUCACGGGAGUAGCAAUACAACUGGUGGCGACCGGCGCACGGGUGAGUAACGCGUAUGCAACCUACCUAUCAGAGGGGAAUAACCCGGCGAAAGUCGGACUAAUACCGCAUAAAACAGGGGCACCGCAUGGUGAUAUUUGUUAAAGAAAUUCGCUGAUAGAUGGGCAUGCGUUCCAUUAGGUAGUUGGUGAGGUAACGGCUCACCAAGCCGACGAUGGAUAGGGGAACUGAGAGGUUGGUCCCCCACACUGGUACUGAGACACGGACCAGACUCCUACGGGAGGCAGCAGUGAGGAAUAUUGGUCAAUGGGCGGGAGCCUGAACCAGCCAAGUCGCGUGAAGGAAAGAAGGAUCUAUGGUUCGUAAACUUCUUUUGCAGGGGAAUAAAGUGCAGGACGUGUCCUGUUUUGUAUGUACCCUGAGAAUAAGGAUCGGCUAACUCCGUGCCAGCAGCAGC